rnacentral:misc_RNA from 1 species
AAGUCGUAACAAGGUAUCUGUAGGUGAACCUGCAGAUGGAUCAUUAAAGUAUUUUUACAAUACACACUUGUGAACGCUGUGAAAUUUGAUAGUUGGUCAGAGUGGAUGAUGAAGAAGAGGCUAGCGCUUCAACUUUGCCUUUGCUCCGGCCGACAGUCGCUAAAACUCUACAAUUUGUGUAACGAAUGUCACCGACAUACCAUACUAAUUGAUCUAUACAACCUUUAACAAUGGAUCUCUUGGUUCCU